rnacentral:rRNA from 1 species
UACGUAGGGGGCAAGCGUUGUCCGGAUUUACUGGGCGUAAAGCGCGUGUAGGCGGAAGCGAAAGUCCGGUGUGAAAGCCCCCCGCUCAACUGGGGAAGGGCGCUGGAAACUGCGCUUCUUGAGGGCGGCAGAGGGAAGUGGAAUUGCUGGUGUAGCGGUGAAAUGCGUAGAGAUCAGCAGGAACACCCGUGGCGAAGGCGGCUUCCUGGGCCGCGCCUGACGCUGAGACGCGAAAGCGUGGGGAGCGAACGGG